rnacentral:misc_RNA from 1 species
UUUCCGUAGGUGAACCUGCGGAGGGAUCAUUACAGAGUUCAUGCCCUACCGGGUAGAUCUCCCACCCUAUGUUAUUAUUACUUUGUUGCUUUGGCGGGCCGUUAGGCUCCGGCCCGACUACCGGCCCCGGCUGGUAAGCGCCCGCCAGAGGACCCAAAACCCUGAAUAUUAGUGUCGUCUGAGUACUAUAUAAUAGUUAAAACUUUCAACAACGGAUCUCUUGGUUCCC